rnacentral:rRNA from 1 species
GAUGAACGCUGGCGGCGUGCCUAAUACAUGCAAGUCGAGCGAACAGAUGAGAAGCUUGCUUCUCUGAUGUUAGCGGCGGACGGGUGAGUAACACGUGGGUAACCUACCUAUAAGACUGGGAUAACUCCGGGAAACCGGGGCUAAUACCGGAUAAUAUUUUGAACCGCAUGGUUCAAUAGUGAAAGACGGUUUCGGCUGUCCCUUAUCGAUGGACCCGCGCCGUAUUAGCUAGUUGGUAAGGUACCGGCUUACCAAGGCGACGAUACGUAGCCGACCUGAGAGGGUGAUCGGCCACACUGGAACUGAGACACGGUCCAGACUCCUACGGGAGGCAGCAGUAGGGAAUCUUCCGCAAUGGGCGAAAGCCUGACGGAGCAACGCCGCGUGAGUGUUGAAGGUCUUCGGAUCGUAAAACUCUGUUGUUAGGGAAGAACAAAUUUGUUAGCAACUGAACAAGUCUUGACGGUACCUAACCAGAAAGCCACGGCUAACUACGUGCCAGCCGCCGCAGUAA